rnacentral:ncRNA from 1 species
ACCCGUGGGCACGUGCGGGAUAUCGCGUGCCACCCUCCCUGUUGGACCUGGCCGGGCACUGUGCCCGGCCAUUUUU